rnacentral:rRNA from 1 species
UACGUAGGGUCCGAGCGUUGUCCGGAGUUACUGGGCGUAAAGCGCGCGCAGGCGGUUUUUCAAGUCAGUGGUGAAAUCCUGGAGCUCAACUCCAGAACUGCCUUUGAUACUGGCGAUCUCGAGUCCGGGAGAGGUGAGUGGAACUGCGAGUGUAGAGGUGAAAUUCGUAGAUAUUAGGAAGAACACCGGUGGCGAAGGCGGCCCACUGGAUCGGUACUGACGCUGAGGUGCGAAAGCGUGGGGAGCAAACAGG